UAGUCGACGACUAACGAUGUCGGUCUCCGC
rnacentral:sRNA from 1 species